rnacentral:ncRNA from 2 species
AUAUCUUUGCAACGCAUAGGUUCGCUAAUCUUUUAACAGAGAUGCGAUUAAAAGGGAAUCAGGUGAAAGUCCUGAACAGUCCCGCUGCUGUAAGUUUCACAAAAUAGCUGUUAGCAAUACCUUUAGCCACUGGGAAAUCCGGGAAGGCGCAAACAGUUGAAACAAGUCAGAAGACCUGCCGUGCGUAAUUAAUCAC